rnacentral:rRNA from 1 species
GUAGCAAUACAAGGCAUACGGCUCAGUAACGCGUAGUCAACCUAACCUAUGGACGGGAAUAACCUCGGGAAACUGAGAAUAAUGCCCGAUAGAACAUUAUGCCUGGAAUGGUUUAUGUUCCAAAUGAUUUAUCGCCGUAGGAUGGGACUGCGGCCUAUCAGUUUGUUGGUGAGGUAAUGGCCCACCAAGACUAUUACAGGUACGGGCUCUGAGAGGAGUAGCCCGGAGAUGGGUACUGAGACACGGACCCAGGCCCUAUGGGGCGCAGCAGGCGAGAAAACUUUGCAAUGUGCGAAAGCACGACAAGGUUAAUCCGAGUGGUUUCUGCUAAAGGAACCUUUUGUCAGUCCUAGAAACACUGAUGAAUAAGGGGUGGGCAAGUUCUGGUGUCAGCCGCCGCGGUAAAACCAGCACCUCAAGUGGUCAGGAUGAUUAUUGGGCCUAAAGCAUCCGUAGCCGGCUCUGUAAGUUUUCGGUUAAAUCUGUACGCUCAACGUACAGGCUGCCGGGAAUACUGCAAAGCUAGGGAGUGGGAGAGGUAGACGGUACUCGGUAGGAAGGGGUAAAAUCCUUUGAUCUAUUGAUGACCACCUGUGGCGAAGGCGGUCUACCAGAACACGUCCGACGGUGAGGGAUGAAAGCUGGGGGAGCAAACCGGAUUAGAUACCCGGGGUAGUCCCAGCUGUAAACCAUGCAA